rnacentral:rRNA from 1 species
CCCCGAGGAAAAGAAAUCAACCGAGAUUCCCCCAGUAGCGGCGAGCGAACGGGGAGCAGCCCAGAGCCUGAAUCAGUGUGUGUGUUAGUGGAAGCGUCUGGAAAGGCGCGCGAUACAGGGUGACAGCCCCGUACACAAAAAUGCACAUGCUGUGAGCUCGAUGAGUAGGGCGGGACACGUGGUAUCCUGUCUGAAUAUGGGGGGACCAUCCUCCAAGGCUAAAUACUCCUGACUGACCGAUAGUGAACCAGUACCGUGAGGGAAAGGCGAAAAGAACCCCGGCGAGGGGAGUGAAAAAGAACCUGAAACCGUGUACGUACAAGCAGUGGGAGCACAGAGCAAUCUGUGUGACUGCGUACCUUUUGUAUAAUGGGUCAGCGACUUAUAUUCUGUAGCAAGGUUAACCGAAUAGGGGAGCCGAAGGGAAACCGAGUCUUAACUGGGCGUUAAGUUGCAGGGUAUAGACCCGAAACCCGGUGAUCUAGCCAUGGGCAGGUUGAAGGUUGGGUAACACUAACUGGAGGACCGAACCGACUAAUGUUGAAAAAUUAGCGGAUGACUUGUGGCUGGGGGUGAAAGGCCAAUCAAACCGGGAGAUAGCUGGUUCUCCCCGAAAGCUAUUUAGGUAGCGCCUCGUGAAUUCAUCUCCGGGGGUAGAGCACUGUUUCGGCAAGGGGGUCAUCCCGACUUACCAACCCGAUGCAAACUGCGAAUACCGGAGAAUGUUAUCACGGGAGACACACGGCGGGUGCUAACGUCCGUCGUGAAGAGGGAAACAACCCAGACCGCCAGCUAAGGUCCCAAAGUCAUGGUUAAGUGGGAAACGAUGUGGGAAGGCCCAGACAGCCAGGAUGUUGGCUUAGAAGCAGCCAUCAUUUAAAGAAAGCGUAAUAGCUCACUGGUCGAGUCGGCCUGCGCGGAAGAUGUAACGGGGCUAAACCAUGCACCGAAGCUGCGGCAGCGACGCUUAUGCGUUGUUGGGUAGGGGAGCGUUCUGUAAGCCUGUGAAGGUGUACUGUGAGGUAUGCUGGAGGUAUCAGAAGUGCGAAUGCUGACAUAAGUAACGAUAAAGCGGGUGAAAAGCCCGCUCGCCGGAAGACCAAGGGUUCCUGUCCAACGUUAAUCGGGGCAGGGUGAGUCGACCCCUAAGGCGAGGCCGAAAGGCGUAGUCGAUGGGAAACAGGUUAAUAUUCCUGUACUUGGUGUUACUGCGAAGGGGGGACGGAGAAGGCUAUGUUGGCCGGGCGACGGUUGUCCCGGUUUAAGCGUGUAGGCUGGUUUUCCAGGCAAAUCCGGAAAAUCAAGGCUGAGGCGUGAUGACGAGGCACUACGGUGCUGAAGCAACAAAUGCCCUGCUUCCAGGAAAAGCCUCUAAGCAUCAGGUAACAUCAAAUCGUACCCCAAACCGACACAGGUGGUCAGGUAGAGAAUACCAAGGCGCUUGAGAGAACUCGGGUGAAGGAACUAGGCAAAAUGGUGCCGUAACUUCGGGAGAAGGCACGCUGAUAUGUAGGUGAAGUCCCUCGCGGAUGGAGCUGAAAUCAGUCGAAGAUACCAGCUGGCUGCAACUGUUUAUUAAAAACACAGCACUGUGCAAACACGAAAGUGGACGUAUACGGUGUGACGCCUGCCCGGUGCCGGAAGGUUAAUUGAUGGGGUCAGCGCAAGCGAAGCUCUUGAUCGAAGCCCCGGUAAACGGCGGCCGUAACUAUAACGGUCCUAAGGUAGCGAAAUUCCUUGUCGGGUAAGUUCCGACCUGCACGAAUGGCGUAAUGAUGGCCAGGCUGUCUCCACCCGAGACUCAGUGAAAUUGAACUCGCUGUGAAGAUGCAGUGUACCCGCGGCAAGACGGAAAGACCCCGUGAACCUUUACUAUAGCUUGACACUGAACAUUGAGCCUUGAUGUGUAGGAUAGGUGGGAGGCUUGG